rnacentral:rRNA from 1 species
AUUGAACGCUGGCGGCAUGCCUUACACAUGCAAGUCGAGCGGCAGCGCGGGGGCAACCCUGGCGGCGAGCGGCGAACGGGUGAGUAAUACAUCGGAACGUGUCCUGUCGUGGGGGAUAACCAGUCGAAAGACUGGCUAAUACCGCAUGAGAUCGAAAGAUGAAAGCGGGGGACCGCAAGGCACUGCGCGAUUGGAGCGGCCGAUGUCGGGGUAGCUAGUUGGCGGGGUAAAAGCCCACCAAGGCGACGAUCCGUAGCUGGUUUGAGAGAACGACCAGCCACACUGGGACUGAGACACGGCCCAGACUCCUACGGGAGGCAGCAGUGGGGAAUUUUGGACAAUGGGGGCAACCCUGAUCCAGCCAUGCCGCGUGUGUGAAGAAGGCCUUCGGGUUGUAAAGCACUUUCGGCCGGAACGAAAUCGCGCGGGCUAUUACCCCGCGUGGAUGACGGUACCGGAAGAAGAAGCACCGGCUAACUACGUGCCAGCAGCCGCCGUAA